ACUAUUUUGUCAGAUAAUAUGUACUAGAUUUAGGAUCUAGUUAAAUAGAAGUUAAUUUCUAUAAAUAGUAAGACGAUAAAUCUAAUUGUUUU
rnacentral:tRNA from 2 species